GCGCAGCAGGCGCGAAACUUUACAAUGUGCGAAAGCACGAUAAGGGAACUCUGAGUGCCUCCUAAGGAGGCUGUUCUGAUGUCUAAAAGCAACAGAAGUAAGGGCUGGGUAAGACCGGUGCCAGCCGCCGCGGUAACACCGGCAGCCCAAGUGGUAGCCACGUUUAUUGGGUCUAAAGCGUUCGUAGCCGGCCAGGUAAGUUCCUUGGUAAAUUUAGCCGCUUAACGGUUAAGCUUUCAGGGAAUACUGCUUGGCUUGGGACUGGGAGAGGUCAGAGGUACUCCGGGGGUAGGGUGAAAUCUAUUAAUCCCUGGGGGACCACCGGUAGCGAAGGCGUCUGACCAGACCAGGUCCGACGGUGAGGGACGAAGGCUAGGGGCGCGAACCGGAUUAGGAUACCCCAGUAGU
rnacentral:rRNA from 1 species